rnacentral:rRNA from 1 species
GAUGAACGCUGGCGGCGUGCCUAAUACAUGCAAGUCGAGCGAACAGACGAGGAGCUUGCUCCUCUGACGUUAGCGGCGGACGGGUGAGUAACACGUGGAUAACCUACCUAUAAGACUGGGAUAACUUCGGGAAACCGGAGCUAAUACCGGAUAAUAUAUUGAACCGCAUGGUUCAAUAGUGAAAGACGGUUUUGCUGUCACUUAUAGAUGGAUCCGCGCCGCAUUAGCUAGUUGGUAAGGUAGCGGCUUACCAAGGCAACGAUGCGUAGCCGACCUGAGAGGGUGAUCGGCCACACUGGAACUGAGACACGGUCCAGACUCCUACGGGAGGCAGCAGUAGGGAAUCUUCCGCAAUGGGCGAAAGCCUGACGGAGCAACGCCGCGUGAGUGAUGAAGGUCCUCGGAUCGUAAAACUCUGUUAUUAGGGAAGAACAAAUGUGUAAGUAACUAUGCACGUCUUGACGGUACCUAAUCAGAAAGCCACGGCUAACUACGUG